GGGGUUGCCUGCGAUGCUGAGUGGGACCUGUUUCCAGUCUUCCUCUUCCCUUAAAUUGCUUCCCUCUGAUAAACGACAGCAGGGGAGAGGGUCCCUAAUGGCAGGUUUUAUAUGAGCAGGGGGUGAUCCUGCUGCUGCUCCUGGUUCUGCCCCAGUGACGUCAGAAUGCCGCUGCCACAUGGAGAACAAUGGUUCCUGGCAGCUGCUCCCUGUCAAGGUUAUCCCUCAACCAGUCAAGGCAAUUCCCUGCUGUAGCGUGGAAUGCAUCAGCUUCAGGGAAAGAUUGUCUGCCCUCUCUCUCCAGUAUGACCUUCAAGUCUAUCCUCGUUGAAGACAGAACACUUUACCAUAAGUUUCAAGAAAAAAAAUGCAAUGGAGAGUAGCUGAAAUUACAUGUGCUACAGAUCACCUCUCUGUAUUGGAGCCAUUGUGAUUCUUCCAAAAGCUUUUAGUCAGAAGGUUAAACAAG